rnacentral:rRNA from 1 species
UACGAAGGGGGCGAGCGUUGCUCGGAAUCACGUGGCGUAAAGGGUGCGUAGGCGGGUCUUUAAGUCAGGGGUGAAAUCCUGGAGCUCAACUCCAGAACUGCCUUUGAUACUGAAGAUCUUGAGUUCGGGAGAGGUGAGUGGAACUGCGAGUGUAGAGGUGAAAUUCGUAGAUAUUCGCAAGAACACCAGUGGCGAAGGCGGCUCACUGGCCCGAUACUGACGCUGAGGCACGAAAGCGUGGGGAGCAAACAGGG